UAUCUCUGUAGAGUCUGCAUAUCAAUAAGCGGAGGAAAAGAAACUAACUAGGAUUCCCUUAAGUAACGGCGAGUGAAGCGGGAAGAGCUCAAAUUUGAAAUCUUCAAGGUUUCUACCUUGACGAAUUGUAGUUUAAAGAAGUGUUUUCUGUUGGAGUUUUGGUAAAAGUUCUUUGGAAUAGGACAUCAUAGAGGGUGAGAAUCCCGUAUUUGACCAUUACUUCCAGCGUUGUGAUACACUUUCAAAGAGUCGGAUUGUUUGGGAAUGCAGUCCAAAAUGGGUGGUAAAUUUCAUCUAAAGCUAAAUAUUGGCGAGAGACCGAGUAGCGAACAAGUACCGUGAGGGAAAGAUGAAAAGAACUUUGAAAAGAGAGUUAAACAGUACGUGAAAUUGUCAAAAGGGAAGCGUUUGACACCAGUGUUGUUUUCUCGAAAAUCAAUUAAAAAGAGUUGGAUUUUGUAUUGUUAAGACCUUAUCAGCUUACUGUACUUUUUUCUUGCUCUUUUUAAUGCACUUUUCGUUUAACAAGUCAACAUCAAUUUCUUUUGUUGUAAAAGGGUCAUUGGAAGGUGGCUUUCACUUCGGUGAAAGUGUUUAUAGCCUUUGGCUUCUACAAUCGGAGAGAUUGAGGUCUGCAGCGUAGAUCCUUCGGGGUUAGAUACGUAGAUGCUAAGUUAUAGUUUUUUAUAGACAACUUGUUGACUAUGAUUAAUCAUGUAGCUUACUCGUUUACGCUAUCUUACCUACGCUUAGGAUGUUGAUCUCUCACAGUCGAGC
rnacentral:rRNA from 1 species